ACUCCUACGGGAGGCAGCAGUGGGGAAUUUUGGACAAUGGGCGAAAGCCUGAUCCAGCAAUGCCGCGUGAGUGAAGAAGGCCUUCGGUUGUAAAGCUCUUUUGUUCAGGGAAGAAACGGUAGAGGGCGUAAUAUCCCUUGCUAAUGACGGUACCUGAAGAAUAAGCACCGGCUAACUACGUGCCAGCAGCCGCGGUAAUACGUAGGGGUGCAAGCGUUAAUCGGAAUUACUGGGCGUAAAGCGUGCGCAGGCGGUUUGUAAGUCUGAUGUGAAAUCCCCGGGGCUCAACCUGGGAAUUGCAUUGGAGACUGCAAGGCUAGAAUCUGGCAGAGGGGGUAGAAUUCCACGUGUAGCAGUGAAAUGCGUAGAUAUGUGGAGGAACACCGAUGGCGAAGGCAGCCCCCUGGGUCAAGAUUGACGCUCAUGCACGAAAGCUGGGGAGCAAACAGGAUUAGAUACCCUGGUAGCGACUGA
rnacentral:rRNA from 1 species